GUCUCCGUAGGUGAACCUGCGGAGGGAUCAUUACAGAGUUUUUAACUCCUAAAACCAUGUGAACUUACCACUGUUGCCUCGGUGGAAGGUACCCGAAAGGGUGCUGGAAGCCGGCGGACAUCUAAACUCUUGUUAAUUUUUGUUAUUCUGAAUCAAACUAAGAAAUAAGUUAAAACUUUCAACAACGGAUCUCUUGGUUCUGGCAUCGAUGAAGAACGCAGCGAAAUGCGAUAAGUAAUGUGAAUUGCAGAAUUCAGUGAAUCAUCGAAUCUUUGAACGCACAUUGCGCCCAUUAGUAUUCUAGUGGGCAUGCCUGUUCGAGCGUCAUUUCAACCCUUAAGCCUAGCUUAGUGUUGGGAGACUGCCUAAUACGCAGCUCCUCAAAACCAGUGGCAGAGUUUUUACGUACUCUGAGCGCAGUAAUUCUAUUCUCGCUUUUGAACACGUCUAGACGAUAGCCAAAAACCGCUUGCCUCGGCAGCACUUUUUAAUGGUUGACCUCGGAUCAGGUAGGAAUACCCGCUG
rnacentral:rRNA from 1 species